rnacentral:tRNA from 2 species
GACUGAGUACCCAAGUGGUUGAAGGGGGAAGUCUGCAAAACUUCUAUGCGUGAGUUCAAAUCUCACCUCAGUCUCCU